rnacentral:rRNA from 1 species
GACGAACGCUGGCGGCGUGCUUAACACAUGCAAGUCGAACGGAAAGGCCAUGCUUUUGUGGGGUGCUCGAGUGGCGAACGGGUGAGUAACACGUGAGUAACCUGCCCUUGACUUUGGGAUAACUUCAGGAAACUGGGGCUAAUACCGGAUAGGAGCUCCUGCUGCAUGGUGGGGGUUGGAAAGUUUCGGCGGUUGGGGAUGGACUAGAGGCUUAUCCGCUUGUUGGUGGGGUAGUGGCUGACCAAGGCUUUGACGGGUAGCCGGCCUGAGAGGUGGACCGGCCACAUGGGGACUGAGAGACGGACCAGACUCGUACGUGAGGCAGCAGUGGGGAACAUGGCACAAUGGGCGGAAGCCUGAUGCAGCAACGCCGCGUGCAGGAUGACCGCUUUCGGGUUGUAAACCGCUGUCGCCGUUGACGAAGAGGGAUUGACGGUAAUGGGUAAAGAAGCACCGGCUAACUACGUG